AGGGAUAUAGUUUAACGGAUAAAACGUGACGCUACGGACGUCAAGCUGUGGGUUCGAUUCCUGCUAUCCCUG
rnacentral:tRNA from 1 species